UUAAAAAGCUCGUAGUUGAACCUUGGGUCUGGCUGGCCGGUCCGCCUCACCGCGAGUACUGGUCCGGCUGGACCUUUCCUUCUGGGGAACCCCAUGGCCUUCACUGGCUGUGGGGGGAACCAGGACUUUUACUGUGAAAAAAUUAGAGUGUUCAAAGCAGGCCUUUGCUCGAAUACAUUAGCAUGGAAUAAUAGAAUAGGACGUGCGGUUCUAUUUUGUUGGUUUCUAGGACCGCCGUAAUGAUUAAUAGGGAUAGUCGGGGG
rnacentral:rRNA from 1 species